CCGUAGCCCAAGAGAUCGGGAUAACACCUGGAAACAGAUGCUAAUACCGGAUAACAAUAGAUGAUGCCUAUCAACUGUUUAAAAGAUGGUUCUGCUAUCACUCUUGGAUGGACCUGCGGUGCAUUAGCUAGUUGGUAGGGUAACGGCCUACCAAGGCGAUGAUGCAUAGCCGAGUUGAGAGACUGAUCGGCCACAUUGGGACUGAGACACGGCCCAAACUCCUACGGGAGGCAGCAGUG
rnacentral:rRNA from 1 species